rnacentral:rRNA from 1 species
AUUGAACGCUGGCGGCAGGCCUAACACAUGCAAGUCGAGCGGAUGAGAGGAGCUUGCUUCUCGAUUCAGCGGCGGACGGGUGAGUAAUGCCUAGGAAUCUGCCUGGUAGUGGGGGACAACGUUUCGAAAGGAACGCUAAUACCGCAUACGUCCUACGGGAGAAAGCAGGGGACCUUCGGGCCUUGCGCUAUCAGAUGAGCCUAGGUCGGAUUAGCUUGUUGGUGAGGUAAUGGCUCACCAAGGCGACGAUCCGUAACUGGUCUGAGAGGAUGAUCAGUCACACUGGAACUGAGACACGGUCCAGACUCCUACGGGAGGCAGCAGUGGGGAAUAUUGGACAAUGGGCGAAAGCCUGAUCCAGCCAUGCCGCGUGUGUGAAGAAGGUCUUCGGAUUGUAAAGCACUUUAAGUUGGGAGGAAGGGUUGUAGAUUAAUACUCUGCAAUUUUGACGUUACCGACAGAAUAAGCACCGGCUAACUCUGUGCCAGCCGCCGCAGUAAGAC